UCUUUUAGAUCUGCCUUGAAGGAAGAGAAGUUGCUCGUGGUGCAGACAGGCUCGAGUUCACCAUGCUUGGACUUGAGCCGUCUGGACAAAGGUUUGGCCAACCUGGUCCGCGAGCGGAAGACAGACCUGGUCAUCAUUGAAGGCAUGGGCCGCGCCAUCCACACCAACUACUAUGCAGCCCUCAAGUGCGAGAGCCUCAAACUUGCAGUUAUCAAAAACUCUUGGCUGGCCGAUCGCCUCGGAGGGAAGCUCUUCAGCGUCAUUUUCAAGUACGAGGUGCCCCUCAAAUGACCCAGCAGAAAGACUUUAAAAGGGUGAGCCCAGGCCGCGGCUUACCGAACCGAAACAGGACUUGCACUAGUUCCCUUUUAAUUGUAAAGAAUGUAUUUUUAUUACCACAGGGGGAAAAUAUGAGUUCACACAGACGAUUGCGUAUUUAUAUUGUGCUAACUCAUAUACUGGCUUUUUCUUUUUGUAAGUGUUUAAUGCUGCAGUAUUUGUGACGGGGGAAAAACAACAACAACCACAACACCAGUUGAUUUUCUUUUUGUUCCGUGAGAUAAUUCAGUCUUGACAUAUUUAAUAUCGAUGAAGUUUCUUUUUAUAUGUUGGCCUAAGUAUAUACAGUACCAGCCAUAACUGGCCAGAUACCAAAUAGAACUUUUAAAGAGCAGAAAGAAAUCUGUUCAUGACUAA